AGCCCAGUAGAUGGCGAUAUGCACAAAGAAUGCAAAUUGGAAAAAAAUAGAAAGAACUCAAAGUGCAGAGAAGAGCUAUUUGAAAUUAGAUUUAUAAGAGAGAGAGAAAUAAAAGGACUAUUAAAGAACUUAUAUUGAUCUGUUUCACACCCACACCUAUCAUAUCGCUUCUGAAGACAUGGAUUAAACCACUGGAGUCGUAUAGAUUAUUUUAUGCUGUCUAUAUGCGCUUUUUGGAGCUUCAAAUUUGAGGUCACCAUUCACUUGCAUUGUAUGACCAACAGAGCUGAAGUAUUCUUCAAAUAAUCUUUGUUUGUGCUCUGCAGAAGAAAGAACAUCAUAAACAACUGGGAUGUCAUGAGGAUAUCCGAUUGUCCUGAUCUCCAUCCAAAAGGUCCUCGAGCGCCUCAGCCUGAGUACAACCGGAAAGAAAGCUUUAAUUGCGGAGAAAGAAAGAAAGAAAGAAAUAUACGGAGGAAAAAUUGCCCAGCUAUGUUUUCUAUGGACAUCAAGUAGAAAUUUCUCAGCUUCCACAAUAAAAAAAAUAAAAAUAAAAAUAAAAAAAAUACACGUUAUUACUUAAAAUGUGUAAGUACAUGUCAUUUAGAUAAUUUAACGGUGUGAUUUUACCAUAUAAUUCAAUUUUAAAUGAGUUCUGGUGAAACAUUUACAUCAACAGAUGAAACCACUUGUCUGGUAUUGAGUUAUAGCCUACUAUCUUAACACGAGCCGAAGUGUGCAAUCUUAACACUUUACAGUACACUAUAGGUGACUCUCUUUUAGCCUCUUACCAGGUCUCUUUUGAUGAACUGCUCCUCUUGUGCGGACAGUCUGUUGUCCAGUGACAUCUGACCCCGGCAGAGGCUCAACAACGACAGGCAAACGCUCAGCGAUUCCAGCGUUGAAAGUUGUUUUGUCAGUGCUUGUGCUCUGGCUACUGGUUGCAAUUGCUUCAAUGGAUUCCUGGAAAACUUUCUCUACUUAUACGAUGUGAGGUCCUGCUGCCUGAUGUGAGGU